ensembl:lncRNA
GGCAGCGCUGCCGGGCACCCGCGGGGCCGCCACCCCUUCACGGCCUCCCUCCGCACGCCCCCGCAGGGAGAACAAGCGGCAGAGAGAGGAAGCGGCACCUCAGCCGGGCUCCCUGGCUGGCCACACUGAGCUCCGAGAGCUUCUGUGCAGGAACGCUGCUCCGUGCCUUCCCUGAAGAAAAACCCGUGACGCUCAUCACCUGAUGACCUUGAUAAAGCAUUGAAGAGCCACCUGUCCGGCACCUGCCUCCAAUAUUGAUCUUGGAGCAUCGUGGCCUGAGACGAUUCUCAGGUCUCCUGUUUGCUGUUCCUAUUCGAGGCACAUCUGAAGAUGGUUAAGAAAUUAUUUUAAAACGAGUGAAAGUCCCCACCUUUCCCUGCUGUGACAAGGCAACAGGACUCCCACUGUCAAAUGUGCAGUCUUUAUGUACAAGCUUGAAAGAAAGGCUGACAGUUCAUGAGAUGACAGGUUUGUUGUCUGCUGUUACUUUCUUCCCCUCCGGGCCAGCUCACCUUUCCUCUUCAGAGCUCCAACCCAUCCCUCCACCUGGUCUCUUGUGUCACGGUGAGAUCCUGGAUAUACCGCACGACACUUCCCACAGAUGGCAGCCCUCAGCCACUCCAGGCAAAGCAAAAACCUCGUAUCCACCCAAGAGCUCUGAAGAUACCAUGAAUGAAGUAAAUUGCUAACAGAAAGAUGGCACCUGCAAUUAAAGCUAACACUCACUCAAAAACUGCGUGAGAACAAAUAUAAAGGCCAAAGGAAUCAGGAUGGCAGUUUGGAAUUCACAGAGCUGCCACGUAAGUCACAUGAAGUAAUAACUGAAAUGCAUUAAAAGGAACACAAUACAAUGACUCAUUAAAUCUCUGUAUGCAAAACCGAGUCUCCAAUUUAUCAUGUACUUAGAUGGCAAGGGUCCAGAAAACUCUGCUUUAAAUCUUAGGGGAAAAAAUCAAAAGAGCUUGUAGCUAAGUGUGGUACAGACAAGAAAAUCCAUUUAUGUAGUCACAGAUGGUACAGGCAAAGGGAGGAAAGAGAACCUUCUGGAGAAGAGAAGGUUGCAUGGAGAAUUCAUAGAAACCUUCCAGUAUCUAAAAGGGGCCUUCUGGCAAGCCAGAGAGAGACUUUUCAUCUUUUCAUUCUUUUCAGGAAUUGUAGUGAUAGGGUAAGAAAUAAUGGAAAGAGGGGAAAUUUAGGUUAGCUAUUAGAAUUUUUUUUCCUUUGAUGGUGGUGAGACACUGGACCAGGUUGCCCAGGGAGGUUAUGGGUGCCCCAACCCUGGCAGUGUUCAAAGCAAGGUUGGAUAAGGCCUUGAGCAGCCUGGUCUAGUUGAGGUGUCCCUUUCCAAGGCGGGUGGUGUACAAGUAGAUGAUCUUUAAGGUUCAUUCCAACCCCUUAGCAUUCUGCUAUUCCAUGAAAACCCCGUCUCUUCAUCGCAGUAAGAGACACGGGCGGCACCACUAAACCCUGUGCCCUUUAAAACUCAUCCUCCAUAAACAGAGGAAGCAAGCAAUGAAUUACCAACAUGUGCAAACCGCAGGAACUGCUGAUGUCAUCGGGAUUAAAGAAAGGCGCCUGCCGAGGCACAACCAAGCGAGACAGCCCAGCGGCAGCACCACUCCACGGCCAGAGCGGGCGCCGGCACCGCCCGGCAGGCGGCCCGGAGAGAGCGAGCGGGGCCGGCGCCCG